UACGGAGGGUGCAAGCGUUAAUCGGAAUUACUGGGCGUAAAGCGCACGUAGGCGGACCGUUAAGUCGGAGGUGAAAGCCUGGGGCUCAACCCCAGAACUGCCUUCGAUACUGGCGGUCUUGAGUAUGGUAGAGGUUGGUGGAACUCCGAGUGUAGAGGUGAAAUUCGUAGAUAUUCGGAAGAACACCAGUGGCGAAGGCGGCCAACUGGACCAUUACUGACGCUGAGGUGCGAAAGCGUGGGGAGCAAACAGGG
rnacentral:rRNA from 1 species